GGGCCCGCACAAGCGGUGGAGCAUGUGGUUUAAUUCGACGCAACGCGCAGAACCUUACCCGGCCUUGACAUCCUGAGAAGGCUCUUGAAAGAGAGCUGUGCCCUUCGGGGAACUCAGUGACAGGUGCUGCAUGGCUGUCGUCAGCUCGUGUCGUGAGAUGUUGGGUUAAGUCCCGCAACGAGCGCAACCCUUGUCGUUAGUUGCCAUCAUUAAGUUGGGCACUCUAGCGAGACUGCCGGUGUUAAACCGGAGGAAGGUGGGGAUGACGUCAAGUCCUCAUGGCCCUUACGGUCGGGGCUACACACGUGCUACAAUGGCAGGUACAAUGUGUCGCGAAGUCGCGAGGCUAAGCUAAUCACAAAAAACCUGUCUCAGUUCGGAUUGGAGUCUGCAACUCGACUCCAUG
rnacentral:rRNA from 1 species